CAUGUUGUCAGUUAUUUUGGUAUGUUUGGUUGUGUUUAGAGUUAUUGGCGCUAUCACCGUCAAAGAGCCUCCUGCAUUUGCAUUCUGCCUCAGGCCUCGUUCCUGGAAACAUUACAUUUACAGAGUAGAACUAAAAGCAAGACUUUCAGCUGAAAGCAGAGGUGCAGUCUAAGAAGGAGGAGGAGGAAGAAAUGGACACAUUCAGUUAAUAUUCUGCUCAGGUGACAGCCUAAAGAAUCCCCAAUUGCACCACUGACACUUCACUGUAAUAAGCAAUGCUAGACUUCCAUCUCAAGUGCUUAAUAUUAGAUGGCACAGAGGAGCAAGGCAGAAAUUGUACUGUACUCUGGUACCUGAAUGACAAAUUUAAAGGACAAACAUCUAAGAGCUUUUCCAUUCUUGAGCAGAGUAAUCACAUAUAUGUUAGACAGUCCACUAACACUAAUUGUAGUGUGUGUGUUAUAGUGGAAAUAUCUUUUCAUUGUGGAUUAACCCUCAAGGUGAACCGUCUCCCCCUUUCCUUGGGGACUGUCACAAUGAGCAGAACAUCCUCAGAUCCAGAAUGAGGGACCACACCCAUCAUAACAAGGAUUAAACCCUAAAACAGAGCAAGGUUUUACCACUCCUGACAUUCAACUCACUGGCUUCCAUAAGUGUUCUUCCAGGAGGAAAUCCAGGAAUCAGAAUUCAUAAUGUACUUUUUAUUUUCCUUUUUUCAGGUAUAAUAAUCACGUAAUCACUUAACAGUUGGACUCUGUAUGUGUUAAAACAGCAAAUUCUGUCACAAGUUCAAGUAGAGUCCAGGUAUAUUGAGAAUAACCCUUAAAUUACAUUAUUAUGUUCUUUGGAUUGCAUCAUUUUGUUCUUUGGAUUAUAUUAUGUUCUCUGUUUUACUCUAUGAUGUUAUUUUAUUGUGCUUGAAAACAUGUUUUAAUUCUCUUGUUCCUUUUUCUUUCUUUUCUAUCACAUUUAUUGCUGACAAGAUAAGGGACCAUUUCUCAUUGUUUUAACUCAUAGUAUUAGAUGGAAAUCAGGUAGAUGGAAUUAUAGCUUUUGAUUUUAUUAGAUUUGUAUUAGUUUAUUAGUUUAGUUAGUUAACACAAGUGACCAGUUUAGGUAUUAAUAAUGAGAUCCUCAAGUUAAUCUGUAUGUUGUAAUGCUUUUCAUUUAUCAUGUCAUGUGAACCAGAUUUGAUGACUAUGGAAUAAAACUGUUAAAAGUA